rnacentral:lncRNA from 12 species
AUUGCCUGCAAAUAAAUAAACAGGACAGGCUGCCUCCACCUUCCUCUUCAGUCCUGUAGUCACCACCCAUGAUAAGCCAUGUCAGACAAGCAGGUCUAGGGCUCUCCUGGGCAAGGCUUAACCUGCUCCAGAAAGGGACAGUCACUUCAGCCAAGGACAGACUUGGCUCAUUUGCUUCCAAGAUGCUCCAUCCUACUGCACAAGGUAACAUGACACGAUUUGAUUACAUGGCCUCAUAUUCUCAGCACAGCUUUAAACUGGACAGAAGCAACACCAGUCAGACACAAAAUACACUCAGAUGGUUCUACUUGUUCUUCACAGAACUCCUUUGGGUAAUUGUGAAAGACAGUGUGCUCGAUCUAUAGGACUAGGUACCACAAUACAAAGGACUUCAAAGAGUGAUCCUAGCGAGUAGAAGGUGUCAAGACAGGAGGUGGCUUGGCCCACAAAACAGCCAGAGAAAGGAGAUGAGCACUGCAUCAAAACUGGAUUCAGUUGCAGAAAAUAACCCCCAAAUGACACACUUGACAUUAGCUUCAUUGUGAGCUCAGCUUGAAGUUUAUGGAGGGAAAUUCUUUAGCCAUG